GUUUGAUCCUGGCUCAGGAUGAACGCUAGCGGGAGGCCUAACACAUGCAAGCCGAGCGGUAUAGAAUCUUCGGAUUUUAGAGAGCGGCGUACGGGUGCGGAACACGUGUGCAACCUACCUUUAUCUGGAGGAUAGCCUUUCGAAAGGAAAGAUUAAUACUCCAUAAUAUAUUGAUUGGCAUCAAUUAAUAUUGAAAGCUCCGGCGGAUAGAGAUGGGCACGCGCAAGAUUAGUUAGUUGGUGAGGUAACGGCUCACCAAGACGAUGAUCUUUAGGGGGCCUGAGAGGGUGAUCCCCCACACUGGUACUGAGACACGGACCAGACUCCUACGGGAGGCAGCAGUGAGGAAUAUUGGACAAUGGGUGCAAGCCUGAUCCAGCCAUCCCGCGUGAAGGACGACUGCCCUAUGGGUUGUAAACUUCUUUUGUAUAGGGAUAAACCUCUCCUCGUGAGGAGAGCUGAAGGUACUAUACGAAUAAGCACCGGCUAACUCCGUG
rnacentral:rRNA from 1 species